GACGAACGCUGGCGGCGCGCUUAACACAUGCAAGUCGAACGGUGAACCGGGCUUCGGCCCGGGGAUCAGUGGCGAACGGGUGCGUAACACGUGGGCAACCUGCCCCUCACUCUGGGAUAACCCCGGGAAACCGGAGCUAAUACCGGAUACUCCGAACGGUCCGCAUGGUCCGGUCAGGAAAGGUCCGCCGGUGAGGGAUGGGCCCGCGGCCUAUCAGCUUGUUGGUGAGGUAACGGCUCACCAAGGCGACGACGGGUAGCUGGUCUGAGAGGACGACCAGCCACACUGGGACUGAGAUACGGCCCAGACUCCUACGGGAGGCAGCAGUGGGGAAUCUUGCGCAAUGGGCGAAAGCCUGACGCAGCGACGCCGCGUGGGGGACGACGGCCCUCGGGUUGUAAACCCCUUUCGGCAGGGACGAAGCGGUUCCGUGACGGUACCUGCAGAAGAAGCCUCGGCUAACUACGUGCCAGCAGCCGCGGUAAGAC
rnacentral:rRNA from 1 species